rnacentral:rRNA from 1 species
GAUGAACGCUGGCGGCGUGCCUAAUACAUGCCAGUCGAGCGAACAGACGAGGAGCUUGCUCCUCUGACGUUAGCGGCGGACGGGUGAGUAACACGUGGAUAACCUACCUAUAAGACUGGGAUAACUUCGGGAAACCGGAGCUAAUACCGGAUAAUAUAUUGAACCGCAUGGUUCAAUAGUGAAAGACGGUUUUGCUGUCACUUAUAGAUGGAUCCGCGCCGCAUUAGCUAGUUGGUAAGGUAACGGCUUACCAAGGCGACGAUGCGUAGCCGACCUGAGAGGGUGAUCGGCCACACUGGAACUGAGACACGGUCCAGACUCCUACGGGAGGUAGCAGUAGGGAAUCUUCCGCAAUGGGCGAAAGCCUGACGGAGCAACGCCGCGUGAGUGAUGAAGGUCUUCGGAUCGUAAAACUCUGUUAUUAGGGAAGAACAAAUGUGUAAGUAACUAUGCACGUCUUGACGGUACCUAAUCAGAAAGCCACGGCUAACUACGUG